rnacentral:lncRNA from 1 species
GGGUGUUUCUGUCUCUGCUCUCCUCCCAGCCCCUUGUCUGCCACCCCUUGUGCUUCUCUCCUUUCACCCAGAGCUCAUCUUCUGCCCUUCCCUCCAGGGCUUUGCUGGCGUGCAGGGGGGCAGAGGGCAUGCGGGACCUCCUGGACCGACGGGCCCCCAAGGAAAACCUGGACCUGAUGGAGAGCCGGGUUCCCUGGGCCCAAAGGGUCUGCCUGGGAAGCCUGGCGCGGAGGGGCCGCAGGGACCUGUCGGCAUGUAUGGCUACCCGGGACCAGCCGGUGACCGUGGGAGGCCAGGGCGCAGGGGAGACAAGGGUGAAACAGGAGCCCGAGGCCUGCCGGGAUUCCCUGGAAAAGCCGGUCCCAAGGCCCUGCCAGGCCCCCCGGGGCCACGAGGUGCUCCCGGCUCCCAGGGAAGAGCAGGAGAGCCGGGUCCUCGGGGGCUUCCAGGGCUGCCGGGAGCUCCCGGCGUGCGGGGGCUGGACGGUGUCCCCGGGAAGCCUGGUUUGGCUGGGGAAGCAGGAGCAGCCGGCAUGCCGGGGGCUGCUGGCCCCCCCGGGUACCCGGUAAGUGCCAACCUGGCUGCUGC